ensembl:lncRNA
CUAUGGUCGGCACGUCUGUUAGCAUCUCUGGCUGCUGUUGAUCUUGUUUUUGGAGUAAAACACGGUGGAAGCUGAAUUAGUGAGGAUGACUCCUGCUCCUGUCAUCUCUAAGCUCCUCACACAUCUUUACCUGCACAUGAGGAAAAUCACUCCUGUAGAAUGCAGUGGUUCAUCAGAACCUCUGGGGAUGUCCUGUGGAUUCUGUGGAUCCUGUGGGUUGCAGGGUGGGUCCUACCUAGACCAGGCUGAUCCUGGACCAUCCCACAGAUGCUCAAUCAGAUCUGGAUGUGGGGAGUGUGGAACCCAGAUGUUCAGAGGGAGAUGAUGCCACAUCUGGUCCAGCUGAUGGAAGGUCUUGAAGUUCUCUGACUGGCCUCGACUGAAGAUGGUCGUCUCACUGGAUUUAAGGUUCAGAUGCUCAGUAACAAACUCCACCAAUGUGCCAACAGGGAAGCUUUAGGUUUAUUAAAUGUUGCUAUGAAGGUAUCACUGUUUUUCUUUGUGAAUGCAAUGUGCUCCAACUGAAACUUGAAUUAGAACUUAGAAGUAAAUCCUUCCAUCUGAAAGGAUUUAGUUGCAUUAAUAACCUGAUAACAUUCUAAUUUUUAUUCCAGUCUUGGUUGAAAAUAGAAUCUCUGUAUUGAUUCAGGUAAAAACUGAACUUCACAGCAUGUUGGAGCAAAACAACCAGAUGAAAACUGUGAUAGUGUUGGAUUGUCAGACCGUAAUAUUGCAGCUCAAAGCAGCUUUUCUAUCUCAGUUCAUUCUGACAUUCAGCUAUGAAUCAACACAGCAGAUGGUGAUCCAUGCUGUGGAAGUCUCACAUCUCCUGAUUUAAUGGAGCUGCUUUGCACUUUUUACACUGUUUAUUCACCAACACUUUAUUUAAUAAAAGUCCCAUCUAGUUUUUAUGAGGAAUGUGAUGUUUUAAUUUCUCUGUGAAUAACUGCAGUCUAAUGCAACAGCUGGAAUUGUAACAUCUGUCCUGAUAUUGAUCAUGAAGUAUUGAUCAGAAUACUUAUGGUCAGCAGUCAUCCCUGAAGUUUUAUAUUAAAAUCUUUACUUGUGUUGUGAACUUUGGUAAGAAGCAGAAACGUUAGCGUUGCCAUGGAUACAUGAGUGUUAAAUUCUGUCCAUGUUUCCAUUUUGGGAAAUUCAGUCCAGUUCCAGAAUGUGGAGGAAUUUAGUCUCAAUCACACACAACAAAUAUUAUCUGAAAGUCGGGUUAUUGUUGUUUAUCAGCACAAUACAAAAAGAUUAAUGUUAGAAAUAUUCCAGUUAAGACCCUAGAAUAUCAUGAUUUAUGUAAAUUUACCUCAAUAAUAUGAAUGUUCAGGUUAAGAUUGUACAGUGAUAUUUAUUGUGCAAGUUUAGCUGAUUAAAGUUUAUGACUGCACUAAAAUAUUAUUUAAAUUGACAUCAUUAUUAUAAUAUUUAGGGUCAGACCCUACAGUAUUGAGAUUAAGAAAUCAAAUAUUCUCUAAAAUGUAAAUACACUGAACUCAUUUGGAUAUAUUUAAGUGAGACUCUACAAUAUUAUUUGAC